CACCAAAGUGACUCCACUUUAGAAUGCUUGUCUGCUUGGAAACUAGAUCAGUCUCCCCUCUGAAUUAAAGAUAAAACUUGCUGUUUUGCAGCGUGUGUUCUAAGUUUAGCAGGAAUCAGUUUCGAUAAAGCUUGUGGUUAGCACAUCCUGGAGUUGUUGACAAGGCAGGAUGUAGCUAGCUAACCACAAACUGAACUGGGGGAUUUCCAGUAAAUCUAGUCCAGAAAGGGGAACUAGAAAUGUAGUAAACAAGUAGGGUAUAUAUUGUCCGGGGCUGAUUAGCUCUGGACAGACAGUUUGGAUCAGCAACAGCCCAUGUUGCCCUGUCUGUCGGUAGCUACCUAAUAAAGGUGUUUUUGUCCUCAACUAUUUUGGGCUCUUGAGUGGUGGUCUCAUAGCGGCUUGGCGAACUCGGGUAAUGUAUAAAUGUCUGGGGGACGCCCAAAUCACCCCUUACAUUUCUGGGGGCCGGUCCGGGAUUUCGGAAUUUUGGGAUUUCUAGUGUUUUGCCAAGGUUCUGUUGUAGCCCACUCAAGAGCUGCUCUUGGGAGCAAGGCGUGUCCACUUCCCCUUCCGGGGUGCUGCGUACGGUCCGCGCCGAGACGUGCGCACGGCCUCUAAAUAGAGGUAAAGACCGGUGGUUCCCUUCGCGGCACCCGAGCGAAGGAAAGGCGUGCUCUCCUCCAAAACAGAAGUUGUGAGACAACCACCGCUGGGAAAGUCGGCCGGCCGCCGCGGGACGGAACGAAAAUUAGGCAAGUAUACCUCUUAAAACCGCUUGUUGUUUAGCAUUGCGGGGAGGGAGAGUUUUAAAUUGUAGAAGCAGUUCGGGGUCCCGUAGGAAUCCCUUGGGAACCAAGAGAACCCCAAAGGGAAGAGAGCUCUGGGAAAGACCUGCAAGGGGAAUCCGACCAGGUCCGGAGGCAGGCCCUAGUAGCAAGACGUGCAAGGAUGGUCCGACCACGGUCUGGGGACAUACUCCACUAGGAAAAUAAUCUUUCACGUCCAGUGGGAAAGCGGAGGAAGACCGUUGAUCUUCCGGCUGUGCGGGCCAGGGUCAAAUCCGCGUACCCCAAUGGGUGGGAAAGAAUCGAAAGGGACAGGAGGGCCAAUGACCCCCCUCCGAUGUAUGUUGAAUAACUUUGAGCAAUUGAAGGAGUACACAGCCGAGGCAGGAAUGGUGCCUUGUUUGGAGGUUUGGAUGCUGUAUUUGGUUUGUGUUUGUGCUCGGUGCACUGUUUGGAAGUUUGGAUGUUGUGGAUGUAUACCAAGAGAAAGUGUUCCCAGUGAGAGUAGACCCGCAAGGGGAUCUGAAUACAGCAAAUGGUAGAAACUCAUUGAGGCUGUAUCAGAACCUGAAUGUUUGUGCCCUGGAAAAAGGGACUCCAAGAGUUCCAAAUUUGAGAAAGAUCUACCAGAUGGAGCAGGAGCAGAAUGAAAGUCCAGUAGCAUUUCUAGAAAGGCUCAGGGAAGCAUUCGAAAAGUUUUCUCCAUAUGACAUGGAUGAUCAGAGGGAUCAGGCGGCAGGAAAGAUAGUGUUGAAGAGUGUUUUCUCUAGCCAGUGCAGCCCAGACAUACGGAGAAAGUUACAGAAAGAUGCUGGUUUGGUCACUUGACUUUGGAAAGGAUUUUGGAGAUUGCAAACCAGGUUUAUUUGUCCCGGGAGGUGGUGCAAGCCAAACGGGAAGAGGCAGCGGUGUCUCGUAGGGCCAAGGUUAUAGCCGCUGUGUUAGGGCAUGAGCUUGGAAAGAAUAAAUGCGCACGGUGCCACAAGCAAAGGCACUGGGCGGCGGAUUGUAAGGUGGAUCUUGGAGGAGGACAGAAUAGGAAAGUGCAAAAUGGGAGUGGAAGUUGGAAAGGAAGGAGACAGAACCGUGGAGCUGUUAACCAGCCCAGUAGGGGUCCGGUUGCAAUUGGAUUGGUUGAUCCUGCAUUGGAUGAAGCAUGGGCUGGUUUUUCUGAGAGAAGAUGAUGAAUUUGAGUUUCCAGGAAUAUCUAUAUAAAUGAACAGAAAGGGAGCUGGGGCAUUGUGCCCUACAAGAGUGAAAAUGCAUGAUAGUAUGAAAAUGUAUAUGGCUGUUAUUUGUGUGUGUAUGAGAAGAACAUAAAGUGCAUGACACUAUAGCUUAUUGGAAGCUUUGCAGGCGGAUAAUAGAAAGGAAUAAAGGCAUGCAAGUUGCGUGUGUCGCGUGAGAUAGAGUGGCCCUCAUUCCCCUUCACUCCCCAGUGACUUUCCGAAGGUUCACUUGAUCCUGUUUACACUUUAAGAGUUUGUGUAUCUGUGUGAGGUUGUGCGAAAGGAUCCAGAAUGGGUGGAAGAAUGUUAGUGUAUGGCAGAAAACAAUGGGAUGACUGGAAGGAAUAGAGUUAUAGUUACAGGUGGUUCCCAAAUGGAAAUUGGCAUCCUAAUGGAAAGGAAAAGGGGAAGGCAAGACCUCCCCUAUCCAGACUCAAGGUGUGUUUUGUGAGUUUUGUGGGACCAGUGUGGUUUUGUGUCAUUAUAACCUAAGAUGCUUUGUUUGUUGCGUGUUCUUAGAACAGAUAGUAGAGAAGAAUGUUUGAGAGGAACUAAGGCUUUGUUAUAGUUUUGUUUUGUGAUAAAGGUUACAAGGUUUUGGGAAAAAAGGCUCAGCCAGUGUUAAGUGCAUGGGAUUUCGUUUGGGAAAAAGGUCUCCGGAGGCUAGAGGUGGAAUGCAAAGAAGCCAUUUGCUCCAUCCCUACCCCCCGGACUAGGAAACAGGUUAGAGAAUUCCUGGGAGAGGCAGGGUUUUGUCGUAUAUGGAUUCCGAACUUCGGACUAUAUGCCAAACCCCUCCACGAGGCUACCAAAGGGAAGUCAGGAGACCCCUUGGCAUGGGGAACUGAACAGCAAGAUGCGUUUGAGCAAUUGAAGAAAGCUUUGAUGUUUGCCCCAGCAUUGUAUGUAUGUAUGUAUGUAUGUAGGAGAACGCAAAGGAGUGGCUGUAGGAGUGUUGACUCAGCCGGUGGCUUAUUUGUCUAAGCAAUUAGACAAUGUGGCCUGUGGAUGGCCUUCAUGCUUGAGAGCUGUAGCGGCUGCUGCGGUUCUUGUGGAAGAAGUAAACAAGCUGACCUUAGGGCAGCCUGUGAUUUUAAAAUGUCCCCAUGCAGUAGUGACUUUAAUGGAACAAAGGGGACACCAUUGGCUCACCAAUAGCCGAAUGCUUAAGUAUGAGAGCAUGUUGGUAGACAAUCCACAGGUUAAAUUGACAGUGUGUGCCACUUUGAACCCAGCUACCUUGAUGCCAGUGGAAGAAGGAGAAUUGAUGCAGCAUGAUUGUUUAGAAGUGAUGGAUGAAGUGUAUUCAAGUAGGCCAGAUCUCAAAGAUCUGCCACUACAAACUCCGAAAUGGGUGCUUUUCACAGAUGGGUCAAGUCGUGUGGUUGGUUCCGAAAGGAGAGCGGGGUAUGCAGUGGUGAAUAGCAAUGGGGAGACCCUAGAGGCAAAGGGGUUGCCUCCGGGGACUUCCGCACAGCGGGUCGAGUAGAUUGCUCUGAUAAGAGCCCCCCCAAUUGACUAAAGGAAAAAGAGUCAACAUUUAUACUGACUCAAAAUAUGCCUUCACCACUUUGCAUGCCCACGGAGCCAUUCAUAAGGAAAGGGGACUGCUGACCUCUGCAGGACAGCAGAUCAAAAAUGCAACAGAAAUUUUGCAACUUUUAAAUGCAGUAUGGGAACCAAAAGAGAUAGCAGUCAUGCAUUGCAAAGGACAUCAGUAUGGUGAGGAUCAGGUAACACAGGGAAAUCGCCUGGCAGACCAACAAGCUAGGAAAGCAGCAGAUGAAAGCACAUCAGAAGAAGCAGUUUUACAAUUGGAUGUUACGCCCGUAGUAGAGUCCAUGACUUACUCUGCACAAGAGAAGGAGUGGGCCCUAGCAGAAGGGGAAAAAUGGAAGGGUAAGGUUUUUAUCUUACCCAAUGAGAAAAUUUAUGUCCCAAAAGCUUUGGGAUGGAAAUUAUUAAAGAAAUUAGUAGACAAACCCAUUUAGGUGCAAUUGGAAUAGCUUCACUCUUGGAGGGGCAGCUCUGGGUGGAUGGCUUGCAGGCCUUGGCCGGAGCUGCUGCCCCAGGAUGUGAAAUUUGUAAACAACACCCUUUAAAUCUUUUGAGUCCUUAGUAGUUGAUUUCGCCGAAGAUGCCAAGGGUCUGGAGUAUUCAGGGUGGAUUCCAACCACCGCUGAAAGAGUUGUAGAGGUCAGGCGUGCUUUGUCAAGGGAUGCAAUCCCUGGGCACGGGAUGCUCUACACAUUGGGGUGACAAUGGCUCAGUCAUUUGGUCACCAGGUGGCAGAGGCCCGCGGCCUUUGUUCACCAGGUCCUUGGGUGCCUAGCCCAGGUGGGAGGCACCGCUUGGAAAUUGCAUUGUAAUUGACCCUAAUCUUUGGGUAAAAGAAUGAACAGGGCUCUGGAAAGAAGUCCAAUCUUUGGACAGGUUGUUAACCAACAUGUAUGAAAGUACCAGGCUUUUGCCAACCUUAUGAAUUGUUGUAUGGAAGACCCUCUCUGAGAAUUAGACCUCUGCAAUGAGACAUACAUGAAUUGGGAAAACAGGAAUUGAUGAAAGAGGUCCAAAUUCUGAAUAUGGUGUUAAACAAACUGUAUAAAUUUACUGGAAUGCUGCGUUAUCCCUUUCCCUGUUACUGCGCUACAUGUUUUUCUCACCAGGAGACUAGGUUUGCCUGAAAGAUUGGAAGUAUGAUCCCCUCGGCCAAGGUGGAAGGAACCACUGGAGGUGUUCGACCACUGGAGGUGGUCCAAAUAACUCUUACUACUGUGAAGUUAAGCGAUGUGGAGCCGGGGGUACAUUACACCUGCAUAAAAAAAAAAAAAAGGACUACACCACCAAAGACCCUGACAUCUGGAAGGUAAACCUGCGUAAGGACAAUCCACUCAAAUUCACACACCCUAAGGGUCAAGCUACCAAGAGCUGCCCUGAAGAGGAGGGGCCCGAAGCUACCUAGAGCUAGCCCCAGAGGUCAGGUUACCUAGAACCGCCUUGAAGAAGGAAGGAGGGUACACUUCCGAGAGUGUCCCAAAAGACCGAAUGGACACUGGGUUUUGGGUGUGGGGAUUUGUGGGUUGUAUUGUAUUCUGUUUUUGUGCUCUGUGCUGUAAUAUUGAGGACAAACACAAGUGUGAAAAUGAGGACACAAUUAUGCUUUUUAAUAUUGAUCAUGAUGCCAUUGGUGCAGGCCCAGAUGGGUUGGGACAGAAACACGUUCCACCAACUAAUUAAAGAUAUAGUAAAGAAGCAGAGGUUAAAGACUGCUGGAUUUGUGCCCAUAGCCCUCACUCUCAAUAUGAGGGUUGGGUCAUGAAAGCAGGGCCACUGCUGGAUGUAUCUGGAUGGAAAUUGUUCACCCCUUGGACAUAUGCUGACCAAGAGGGGUUGACUGAUUCGGCUCAAUUUAUGUUGGCCCAUGAUGAUUCUGCACCAACUGCAUCAGCUUGUUUGGCAAGAUUCACAGAUGGGAUCUCAGAAAUUGAUCAUAAAAAACUUCCCCCAAGCCAAUCUCAUAGAAGUAGGAGAUUACCCUCAUUGUAAUCUCACUCUCCCUGUAUAUUAUGACAACAUAUUCAUGAGAGUUGAAUAGCCACAGAGAGAUGGUCACCUGAAAAAAAAAAAAAUCAAGAAGGCAAGCUUCCUUGCCAGAGGGUGAUGGUAAGAAACCACCUUCUCGUUCGGCACGAUAUGUGGUUAAGCCCGGGUCGGAGCUGCCUCGUGCAGCAACUCAGCCACCUGCGGCGGGAGGCAAGCCUCCACCACGACAAGAUCUGGUCCGGACACAAGGAAGCUUCCCAAUGGAAUACCAAAUUCCUGAAAGGCCAAGGCCCGGUAUUUUGCUUGAUAACCAUGCCAUGGGAGGAUUGCCUCCGGGGUAUUUCUGGAUAUGUGGGAAGUGGGGAGGUAAAGUCUUGCCUCCACUUUGGGUUGGUACUUGCACCAUUGGUACCCUAGUCCCCACCAAUAUUGAGAUACACCCGCGAGAGUAGCCCCUGCAGGCAUUGGGCAACAGACCGGUGAAACAGGCCUAAAAGAGCUUAUGAUGAAAACGUGGCUAUGAUCCUGAUAUCUAACUGAGGGAGAAGGAUUUAGAACAGGUUCGCUGAUUACCUUGUGGAUUGGGUGGCUGAGAGACCUCAUCAAAAUAUUAUUUGUCAUGUUGCUAAUCAUGAUUUUUGCCUUGUCUCUUUUGCCAUGUAUCAGGUCGUGCUUGAAGAGAAGUUCAACAUGUUACAUACAGCUGAAUACCUUGGAAUACCCCACUGUAAUUGGACACCUGUGCAACCAAGAAAUUGUCUUUCUUGGUUACAUGAAAAAACGGGGGAAUGAAGGGGUCACUGAGACACCAAAGUGACUCCAAUUUAGAAUGCUUGUCUGCUUGGAAACUAGAUCAGUCUCCCCUCUGAAUUAAAGAUAAAACUUGCUGUUUUGCAGCGUGUGUUCUAAGUUUAGCAGGAAUCAGUUUCGAUAAAGCUUGUGGUUAGCACAUCCUGGAGUUGUUGACAAGGCAGGAUGUAGCUAGCUAACCACAAACUGAACUGGGGGAUUUCCAGUAAAUCUAGUCCAGAAAGGGGAACUAGAAAUGUAGUAAACAAGUAGGGUAUAUAUUGUCCGGGGCUGAUUAGCUCUGGACAGACAGUUUGGAUCAGCAACAGCCCAUGUUGCCCUGUCUGUCGGUAGCUACCUAAUAAAGGUGUUUUUGUCCUCAACUA